rnacentral:rRNA from 1 species
UAGCAUAUCAAUAAGCGGAGGAAAAGAAACCAACAGGGAUUGCCCUAGUAACGGCGAGUGAAGCGGCAACAGCUCAAAUUUGAAAUCUGGCUUCGGCCCGAGUUGUAAUUUGCAGAGGAAGCUUUAGGCGCGGCACCUUCUGAGUCCCCUGGAACGGGGCGCCAUAGAGGGUGAGAGCCCCGUAUAGUUGGAUGCCUAGCCUGUGUAAAGCUCCUUCGACGAGUCGAGUAGUUUGGGAAUGCUGCUCAAAAUGGGAGGUAAAUUUCUUCUAAAGCUAAAUACCGGCCAGAGACCGAUAGCGCACAAGUAGAGUGAUCGAAAGAUGAAAAGCACUUUGAAAAGAGGGUUAAACAGCACGUGAAAUUGUUGAAAGGGAAGCGCUUGUGACCAGACUUGCGCCAGGCUGAUCAUCCGGUGUUCUCACCGGUGCACUCGGCCCGGCACAGGCCAGCAUCGGUUCUCGCGGGGGGAUAAAGGUCUCGGGAACGUAGCUCCUCCGGGAGUGUUAUAGCCCGGGGCGUAAUGCCCUCGCGGGGACCGAGGUUCGCGCAUCUGCAAGGAUGCUGGCGUAAUGGUCAUCAGCGACCCGUCUUGAAACACGGACCAAGGAGUCAAGGUUUUGCGCGAGUGUUUGGGUGUCAAACCCGCACGCGUAAUGAAAGUGAACGUAGGUGAGAGCUUCGGCGCAUCAUCGACCGAUCCUGAUGUUUUCGGAUGGAUUUGAGUAGGAGCGUUAAGCCUUGGACCCGAAAGAUGGUGAACUAUGCUUGGAUAGGGUGAAGCCAGAGGAAACUCUGGUGGAGGCUCGCAGCGGUUCUGACGUGCAAAUCGAUCGUCAAAUCUGAGCAUGGGGGGCGAAAGACUAAUCGAACCAUCUAGUAGCUGGUUACCGCCGAA